GAUGCCAUCCUCCCGUGUCGCUCCGUCACAGCGGGCCAGUCGGUGAAGUCUGCGCGCUGGAGGAGAAACGGGGAAGUACUGCUGGAGCUGAAUGGUCGGACAGGGGAAAUCACAUACGGGGAUGACUUUAACAGAAGCCGGGUAUCGAUACCAUCUGACUGGGACCGACGGGCAGACCUGUCCCUCACCAUAAAGGGAGCUCAGCAACAAGACGGAGGAGUUUAUUACUGCGACAUAGAGAAGGCCGAGAAACACCGCUCUGCUGUCCGCCUGCGAGUGCGCAAACCACCGGGUGACUCUGCUGUGACAGCAUCGAUUCGAUUACAACAACACUGAUCUCUGUCCUGGCAGCAAAGACUCACAGUUCAGGUUUUAACUAUGUCAUUCAGGAAUUUAACAAGAUAACAGGCACCUACAGGAGUCCUACCACUGGAUAUGGAUCACAAUCAUCAUAACAGCAGC
ensembl:lncRNA